UAGUAGACAAGUACCGUGAGGGAAAGUUGAAAAGUACUCUGAAGAGAGAGUAAAUAGCACGUGAAGCCGCUUGCAGGGAAGCUGGUGGAGUCAAGCUUCUUGUUCAGAGGAUUGUCAUCAUAAGCAUGCCUUAGAUGUUCAGGUCUUAGAGUCGGAUUGCUUGAGAAUGCAGUCCAAAGUGGGUGGUAAACUCCAUCCAAGGCUAAAUACUCCGAUUAUGGCUAGGACCAGGCCCAGAGCGGGUGUAAGGCCCGUGCGGGUCCUAUGCGGCGCCUCUCCUCGGAGUGGGUGUCAAUGARAAUCGUGAUGCUGUGGUARACGUCCACCCGCCGUCUUGAAAGCGCUCCUCAGAUGUGCAUACUUUCGAGUCGGAUUGCUUGAGAAUGCAGUCCAAAGCGGGUGGUAAACUACAAGUACCGCGAGGGAAAGUUGAAAAGUACUCUGAAGAGA
rnacentral:rRNA from 1 species